GCUCCCGUAGCUCAGCUGGAUAGAGUGUCGGCCUCCGAAGCCGAAGGUCACGCGUUCGAAUCGCGUCGGGAGCG
rnacentral:tRNA from 1 species